rnacentral:rRNA from 1 species
AAUAUUGGACAAUGGGCGAAAGCCUGAUCCAGCCAUGCCGCGUGAGUGAAGAAGGCCUUCGGGUUGUAAAGCUCUUUCGUACGGAAAGAAAUCGCGCAGGCUAAUACCCUGCGCGGAUGACGGUACCGUCAGAAUAAGCACCGGCUAACUCCGUGCCAUCAGCCGCGGUAAUACGUAGGGUGCGAGCGUUAAUCGGAAUUACUGGGCGUAAAGCGUACGCAGGCGGUUGAUUAAGACAGGCGUGAAAUCCCCGGGCUUAACCUGGGAACUGCGCUUGUGACUGGUCAGCUAGAGUACGGCAGAGGGGGGUGGAAUUCCACGUGUAGCAGUGAAAUGCGUAGAGAUGUGGAGGAACACCGAUGGCGAAGGCGACCACCUGGACUGAUACUGACACUGAGGUGCGAAAGCGUGGGGAGCAAACAGG